rnacentral:rRNA from 1 species
CGGCAACAGCUCAAAUUUGAAAUCUGGCUCUCGGGCCCGAGUUGUAAUUUGUAGAGGAUGAUUUUGGCGCGGUGCCUUCCGAGUUCCCUGGAACGGGACGCCUUAGAGGGUGAGAGCCCCGUACGGUUGGACACCAAGCCUCUGUAAAUCUCCUUCGAC